UUCUAAAAAGGUUUGGUCCUGGCCUUAUAAUUAGUUAGAGGUAGAAUUACACAUGCAAAUCUCCCUAAACCAGCCCUAAGGAGAGGGUAUUAAGCACAAAUACAUAGCUAAAGACACUUUGCCAGCCACACCCCCACGGGAUUCAGCAGUGAUAAAAAUUAAGCUAUAAACAAAAGUUUGACUUAGUUAUACCUCAUUUAUGGUUGGCAAAUUUCGUGCCAGCCACUGUGGUCAUACAACUAACCCACACUAAUUAUCCCCGGUGUAAAACGUGGUUUUAACUACUGAUAUAUGAAUAUAACUAAAAUCCAACUAAUAUGUGCAAAUUCAUUGUUGGACCUAAACUCAAUAACGAAAGUAAUUCUAACUAAAUCAAUACACGAUAGCUAAGAUCCAAACUGGGAUUAGAUACCCCACUAUGCUUAGCCUUAAACCUUAGUGAUUAAAUAACAAAAUCACUUGCCUGAGAACUACUGGCCACAGCUUAAAACUCAAAGGACUUGGCGGUACUUUCUAUCCAUCUAGAGGAGCCUGUUCUAUAAUCGAUAAACCCCGUUAUACCUUACCACCCCUUGCAAAUUCAGCCUAUAAACCGCCAUCUUCAGCAAACCUUAAAGAGAACAGAAGUAAGCAAGAGAAUACCCAUAAAAACACAAGGUCAAGGUGUAGCCUAUGGGUUGGGAAGUAAUGGGCUACAUUUUCUUUUUCAAGAACUAUCCUUUAUGAAAUCUAAAGGACAAAGGAGGAUUUACUAGUAAAUUAAGAAUAGAGAGCUUAAUUGAAUAGAGCAAUGAAGUACGUACACACUGCCUGGCACCCUCCUCAAAGUAAGCUACAAUCAAUUCUUCCGUAAUACCGAUUAACAAACUUAUGAGAGGAGAUAAGUCGUAACAAGGUAAGCAUACUGGAAAGUGUGUUUGGACUAACCAUAAC
rnacentral:ncRNA from 1 species